AAAGCCAUAGGUUGGUUGGACGAAACAUUUACUAGUCCAGCAGUAUCCGGCAAAUAAGUCCCAGCAGUAGCAAUAUUCGACAAACAAGGCCCAAUAGAAUUGGGCAAAGCAAGUGCAGAAGAACUAAUAAAAGCAGGCCCAUAGGGCAGAGCAACAGACCCAAACAUAGUAGGAGGCCCAUAUGUCAUUGACCCACUCGACUUUGGCAAAUAAGUUACCUGAUUCACUUGGGCCAUGAGGCUAGCUUGUGAUAAUGGGCCAGCAGGUAAAACAUGGGAGAACAGACCAUAGGACAAAUGAAUUUGUGAUGAAAACCCAUGAGGAGAAAAUGCAUUAAGGUUCGAGGUAGCCACCGAAAAACCUUCAUAAACCUGAGAGAUCUUGGCACUAAAAGUUGCGGCAAACAAAUGGCACGUCGUGCUCCAUACUUCAUGAGUUGUGUUGGCACUUGUAAAAUGCAAUAAAAGAUCGCCACUAACUGUGGAUAAUAGCCAAGAUGCAAGAAGUUUAUCUUGUUGAUGGUAAGAUACAAAGUC
rnacentral:lncRNA from 1 species